rnacentral:rRNA from 1 species
GACGAACGCUGGCGGCGUGCCUAAUACAUGUAAGUAGGACGCAGUUGCGAACGGGUGAGUAACGCGUAGGUAACUACCUAUUAGAGGGGGAUAACUAUUGGAAACGAUAGCUAAUACCGCAUACUAGUAGAUGGACCUGCGUUGUAUUAGCUAGUCGGUAGGGUAAUGGCCUACCUAGGCAACGAAGCAUAGGCGACCUGGGAGGGGGAUCGGACACACUGGGAAUGGGAAACGGCCCAGACUCCCAAGGGAGGGCGCAGUAGGGAAACUUCGGCAAGGGGGGGAAACCUGACCGAGCAACGGCGCGUGAGGUAAGAAGGUUUUCGGGGCGUAAAGCUCUGUUGUGAAGGAAGCGGUACUUAACCAGAAAGGGACGGCUAACUACGUGCCAGCAGCCGCGGUAAUAC